CGUGUAAAUGGUUUUAAUCUUGGAAAGGUUUUAUAAAAGACCGUUGGAAUUGGGAAGCCAAAAGUUUGGGUCGGUGUAUUGGCGCAUAAAAUAUACGUUACGUUCUCCACUCUUCCUUCUUCACUUCACUUCAAUCAUCCCGCUCCGCUCUCCAAACACCGUCGGAGACGACUCGUCGCAACCUCUGUAACUCAACUCAGCUCACCGGAGACACAAGCACCCCCACCCUUCGUAGGACACUCACAACUCAUAAGUCACAACCAUGUCGGUAUUCCUAAGAAGUUGUCUACUUCAAAUUGCAAAUGUGGUAUGCAUCAGAUGCUGACAACCAAAUGUUGAGGAAACAAUGAGGAUUCAGACUUGUACUUAGAGCCAUCCCUCACCUAUACAUAGAAGUAGAAACUAUAUACAUCUUUACUUUCCCCUGCAGCUUCUCAACCUGAUUUUGUACCAACAUGAUUCCAGUUUUUCAUUAAAGAAUUUGUGUGCAAUGUAUCCUUUGAUCAUCUAUUACAUGUAAGUUUUUAAAUUGCAUUGUUGCUCAUUCUUCCAUUUAAAUUACAUGGAUUUAGUUAUAAUAGCAGUUCUAUUGAUUUUAAAAAAAAAGUCACUAAAGGGUGUUUUCGUCAUUUAACAUAAUUUUCACUUCAAUUCUCUUGAUAGAUUUACAAACCAAACACAAAACAAAACAUGAAUGGAACUGAAAUCCUUUCCAUUUCUUUUCAACCAUACAUACGACAGAUUCCAAUUCCUUUGAUAAAUUUCAUUCAUUUCAAAAAUAUUUUAAGAACCGCAAAUUCUCUUCCAUUACUCCGAGAUUAAUUGCUAUCCUUAAUUCCAAUUCCUUUUACAAAUUCCAUUCAUUACUCUGCAACAAGAAAAGGUUUCAGAAACCAAAUACAAAACUUGUGGUUUAGAAAAGGAAAAGAAGAUUCCCCCAAGAAUCAGAGUGUAAACAUGUACACAUUUAGGUCCAUUGAAUCUCAAAUACCUUGCUUUAUCAAAUUACUGCCUUGAAUCCACUGAUUACAAGCUGGCAAAGCAUGGAAAUGAUGUACAGGUCAACAGCUUGAAAUUGUUGGAUGACAUGGCAGAAUUGAGUUCAACCUACUGAGAUACACGAUUAUAUAACAGAGCAUAUGACAGGAAAGAAAAGCAUUUCACAUUGACUUUAGAACUGUAUAUGGAGUAGUAUUAUCUUGGGUUUUUUGGCACUGUUGUCUACACAGGUUAACAACUUGAAAUUGUUGGAUGACAUGGCAGAACUGAGUUCAACCUACUGAGUUACACAAUUAUAUAACAGAGCAUAUGAUGGUGUUAUGAAUGCAGUGAAGAGGCAAAAAAACAUUAUUUAAAUUAAAGAAGUAAAGCUUGUGAAUGUCCUUGAGAUGAGCUAUACAUCCAAUGAUCCAAUGAUCAACAUUCACCAUACCCUCAUGCCAUAAAGACGAAGUGCAAAUAUUUGUAUGAUGAUGAUAUGAUCAUCAGAAGAAGACACGAAUGUAUUUCAUGUGAACAACUUUCAAGAUCCUCUUCAAAGAACUUUGUCUUCAUUGGAGCUUCCAACAAACAUCUCUCUCUCUUGCGAAUGGAACACCUUCAUCUUCAUUCAGAGGCUCUCCCUCUGAUAACAAUCAGAAGAUACUUGAUACAGUUACUAUUCCAGAAGACAAUCAUUUGGGCAGCAGGCAGAGGCCUUGUAGAUGGUCAAAGUCAAAGUCAAGGUCAAAAUAAGGGAGGAGAAAUUAUUGGGCUUCCAAAGACCACCAAAUAGUUCCCAAAGAGUCCCUGAGUACCCUUUGACCCUCUUGAGCAGCCAAGAGCAACUAGAAAUCUGGAGAAAAAGCUAAAUGACUAUAUACGAUGUCAAGACAUGGAGGUCUUUGCUGCAUUCCAAUGAGUCGGAAAGCUUUUACAUGACAAGCCACAGCCACUUCAUCAGUAAAAUACUAUUUUUAAUGCAUUUUAUUGGAUAUCUCUUUCUACAGUUUAUAUGACUUUCAACCAUGAGUCCAAGUUUGUGCAAUUUAUGGGAAUACUUAUCAGUUGCAUGUAUCUCUUCUCCCUUUACCUGUGUUAUCUUCUCACCUGCUUAGAAAAGGAUUAUUAAUAAAUACCCUUGUAUGUUGAUCUUUUUUUUUUUUUUUUUGAUUUUUUAAUAUGAUGUUUUGGAUUCACAAGCGUAUUAGCUCAAGUGUUUAACAGUAAUGCUGGGAGCAUAAGGGAAGCAAAAUGGAGUUGGUUUAUUUGCAAUCAAAAAGGAAAGGAUGUGCUUAUUCUCUUAAAAAGAUUCUGAAUAUUGCAUGGAAAAUGCUAUCAGCACUUAUUUAGUAUGCCUGGGAAGGGAAAUGCCACAUGGUGUGGUAUUUGGUGGGUUAAAGUGUUAGAAACAAUUGGUCAAUAUAAAGAGGGUGAUGGUGUUUACUUUUGUAUCUCAUAUGAGGUGCAUCACCCUCCUCUUGUCUCUUGAUGUCAUGGAUUUACUUAAGAAGUAAAGUUUGUGGAUGUCCCUGAGAUGAACUAUACAUCCGAUGAUCAACCAUACCCCCUUUUUUUGUAUGUGUGUGUUCCAAGGCUAGUACAAAGAUGAAGUGCAAAUAUUUGUAUGAUGUUACUCUCUUCUGCCCAAAAUUUUAUAUCCCACCCAACAAGGUGGAAGGAUAACCGGAGCAGUCAAGAACACAGCAAUCUGGAGAAAAAAAGCUAAAUGAUCGUAUAUGAUGAUGCCAAGUUUCACAAUCAACACGACUCCCCUUGCAAGGUGUGCACUAAUCAAGGCUAUCUCUCAUUAAGGCAUAAUAAUCAAUUUUUUUAUACUCAUUUUGUAUUUGCCAAAUGAUUGAUCGAAAGCUUUCAUGAGAUACUGUCUGUGUAAGUUGACAUGCUCAAAAUAUCAAAUGGUAUCUUACUAGGCAUGUUGGGCUUUCGUUUCAUAGAAGACAUGAUUCAAGAAAUUUAAAGCUUUGGUAAGUUGGUAUACUUAAGUCAGAAAAGAAUUUCAUGUAUCCUACCUACUUUAAGAAAAUAUAUUCCCAAUUAUAUCAUUGUAGUUCAGUUUUUGGGUUUUAGUUUCCACAACGUUCAUAAGAGAGUUAAUUUCGAUGACCUCGAACCAUCUGUAUUUAUAAAAGAGUUAAUUUCAUUAUCAAUCAAUUUUUGAGUUUUUAAUAGGCUUUGAGUAAUUAUAGUUCUCGUAUGUUGGUGAGUAAUAAAUACACCGUCAAAUUCUUUGUAUCUCUUAUGGGAAGUUACUUGUUUCGAGAGAAUUAAAUCUCACUCAAAAAAAAUAUUUAACUGAAUGGAAUAUAUUUAUGAUGGUUUUUUCGGGUAAUCAUCAUCGUAAUUCCUAACAUCUUCUUCUGGAAGGGAUCCAAGAAGGCAACCAUCAUUUUGUAAUUACUAUAAAGCUUCAUUAUUUAAAUUUAGUCAUGUAGUGUUUUGUGUGUUUGUUUUCAGAUUAAAAAUAUUAAUUCUUUUUUGAAUGAUGGCAAAAAGAGAGGCAGAGAUGAUGUAGCAAGUUUCUUCACCAAUGAUGAUGGAUAUCAUAUCACCAAAUUGGUUAUGAUAACAACAAGCCUCAAAACUUAUGUUAAAUUUUUAAGGAAGUUGUGGGAAAUAACAAGAGAAGACAGUGUUCAAGGACUUUUUGCACAUUAACGAUUUUGACAAGGAAACAAUAUUAACAAUCUUGGAUAGACCCAAAGAAUUGAAAGCAUUGCUAAAAUCAGGCGAAAGGACGUAUCUACCCUUCAAAGUGUCAGGUUCUUUUCUUAGAUUAUUGCUUUCAGGAUACAAUAUCCUUGUACGCUUUUUGGUAAUGCUUAGAUCUUUUAGUUUCAAAUCUUAUUACUGGCUGCUAUUUAAUUUCAAAAGAAUCGAGUAAGGAGCAAGUUGGAAGAAAUUAAUCAUAUUUGCACUGCUAUAGAUGGUGGCGAAUUCCGAUUCCGUGGGAAUUAAAUCUCGAUAUUUCCUUUGUGAUUUGUUUAUUUUCUACGAUUGCAGUUCUAUCAGGAUAGAAUCACGAAUUCCAAUUCUACUGGAAUGGAAUCUUGAAUUAUGAUUCUAUCAGAAUAGAAUCUUGAAGAUGAACAUUGUAUUGAAUGAAGAUGAACAAUGACCACCGAUCUUUCAAAAAGAAUGGAUUAUUCUACCAGAAUAAUAUACAAUAUAAUGAAAAAAAAAAUCUAAUAGUAUAUUCUGGUAGAAUGAUUUAUAUAUUGUGUUUUUUUGUUAUUAAUAAGUGUAAC